rnacentral:rRNA from 1 species
GACGAACGCUGGCGGCGUGCUUAACACAUGCAAGUCGAACGGAAAGGCCCUGCUUUUGUGGGGUGCUCGAGUGGCGAACGGGUGAGUAACACGUGAGUAACCUGCCCUUGACUUUGGGAUAACUUCAGGAAACUGGGGCUAAUACCGGAUAGGAGCUCCUGCUGCAUGGUGGGGGUUGGAAAGUUUCGGCGGUUGGGGAUGGACUCGCGGCUUAUCAGCUUGUUGGUGGGGUAGUGGCUUACCAAGGCUUUGACGGGUAGCCGGCCUGAGAGGGUGACCGGCCCCAUUGGGACUGGGCUACGGCCCAGACUCCUACGGGAGGCAGCGGUGGGGAAUAUGGCACAAUGGGCGGAAGCCUGAGGCAGCAACGCCGGGUGCGGGAUGACGGCCUUCGGGUGGUAAACCGCUUUCGCCUGUGACGAAGCGUGAGUGACGGUAAUGGGUAAAGAAGCACCGGCUAACUACGG